rnacentral:rRNA from 1 species
GGGACUUUGUGUGUCCAACGCAAGGAAGUUUAAGGCGAUAACAGGUCUGUGAUGCCCUUUUGAUGUUCGGGGCUGCACGCGCGCUACAUGGAUGCAUUCAACGAGUGUACAACCUUGCCUGAAAUGGUUGGGUAAUCUGCAAUGUGCAUCGUAAUGAGGAUAGAUGAUUGCAAUUUUGAAAUCUGCAACGAAGAAUUCCAAGUGCGCGCCAUCAGCUCGUGCUGAUUACUUCCCUGCCCUUUGUGCACACCGCCCGUCGCGCCUACCGAUUGAGUGCUUCGGUGAUUUAUUCGGAGGUUGAUUUGUUCAGCUUUGCAGAAGAUGUCUUUCGAAGUAAAGCGAACCUCAUCACUCAGAGGAAGGAGAAGUC